GACGAACGCUGGCGGCGUGCUUAACACAUUGCAAGUCGAACGAUGAAGCGGUUGCUUUGCACCGUUGGAUUUAGUUGGCGAACGGGUUGAGUAAUACGUGAGUCGACCUACCUUUGACUCUGGGAUAAGCCUGGGAAACUGGGUCUAAUACCGGAUACGACCAAUCUCUGCAUGGGGUGUUGGUGGAAAGCGUUAUGGAGUGGUUUUAGAUGGGCUCACGGCCUAUCAGCUUGUUGGUGAGGUAAUGGCUUACCAAGGCGACGACGGGUAGCCGGCCUGAGAGGGUGACCGGCCACACUGGGACUGAGACACGGCCCAGACUCCUACGGGAGGCAGCAGUGGGGAAUAUUGCACAAUGGGCGCAAGCCUGAUGCAGCGACGCCGCGUGAGGGAUGACGGCCUUCGGGUUUGUAAACCUCUGUUAGCAUCGAAGAAGCGAAAGUGACGGUAGGUGCAGAGAAAGCGCCGGCUAACUACGUGCCAGCAGCCGCGGUAAUACGUAGGGCGCGAGCGUUGUCCGGAAUUAUUGGGCGUAAAGAGCUUGUAGGCGGUUGGUCGCGUCUGCUGUGAAAGGCCGGGGCUUAACUCCGGUUUUGCAGUGGGUACGGGCUAACUAGAGUGCAGUAGGGGAGACUGGAAUUCCUGGUGUAGCGGUGGAAUGCACAGAUAUCAGGAGGAACACCGAUGGCGAAGGCAGGUCUCUGGGCUGUAACUGACGCUGAGAAGCGAAAGCAUGGGGAGCGAACAGGAUUAGAUACCCUGGUAGUCCAUGCCGUAAACGUUGGGCACUAGGUGUGGGGGACAUUCCACGUUUUCCGCGCCGUAGCUAACGCAUUAAGUGCCCCGCCUGGGGAGUACGGCCGCAAGGCUAAAACUCAAAGGAAUUGACGGGGGCCCGCACAAGCGGCGGAGCAUGCGGAUUAAUUCGAUGCAACGCGAAGAACCUUACCAAGGCUUGACAUGCAUUAGAUCGCGUCAGAGAUGGCGUUUCCCUUCGGGGCUGGUGUACAGGUGGUGCAUGGUUGUCGUCAGCUCGUGUCGUGAGAUGUUGGGUUAAGUCCCGCAACGAGCGCAACCCUCGUUCUAUGUUGCCAGCGGUUCGGCCGGGGACUCAUAGGAGACUGCCGGGGUCAACUCGGAGGAAGGUGGGGAUGACGUCAAAUCAUCAUGCCCCUUAUGUCUUGGGCUUCACGCAUGCUACAAUGGCCGGUACAGAGGGUUGCGAUACUGUGAGGUGGAGCUAAUCCCUUAAAGCCGGUCUCAGUUCGGAUUGGGGUCUGCAACUCGACCCCAUGAAGUCGGAGUCGCUAGUAUUCGCGUUUCAGCAAACGCUGCGGUGAAUUCGUUUCCCGGGC
rnacentral:rRNA from 1 species